AGUGAACGCUGGCGGUAGGCCUAACACAUGCAAGUCGAACGGCAGCACAGUAAGAGCUUGCUCUUACGGGUGGCGAGUGGCGGACGGGUGAGGAAUACAUCGGAAUCUACUUUUUCGUGGGGGAUAACGUAGGGAAACUUACGCUAAUACCGCAUACGACCUACGGGUGAAAGCAGGGGAUCUUCGGACCUUGCGCGAUUGAAUGAGCCGAUGUCGGAUUAGCUAGUUGGCGGGGUAAAGGCCCACCAAGGCGACGAUCCGUAGCUGGUCUGAGAGGAUGAUCAGCAACACUGGAACGGAGACACGGUCCAGACUCCUACGGGAGGCAGCAGUGGGGAAUAUUGGACAAUGGGCGCAAGCCUGAUCCAGCCAUACCGCGUGGGUGAAGAAGGCCUUCGGGUUGUAAAGCCCUUUUGUUGGGAAAGAAAAGCAGCAGGUUAAUACCCCGCUGUUCUGACGGUACCCAAAGAAUAAGCACCGGCUAACUUCGG
rnacentral:rRNA from 1 species